rnacentral:tRNA from 1 species
AUAGUGUAGUGGUCAUCAUGUCUGCUUUACACGCAGAAGGUCCUGGGUUCAAUCCCCAGU